GUCUACUGCCAUACCACUUUGAACGUGCUUGAUCUUGGAAGCUAAGCAGGGUCAGACCUGGUUAGGACUUGGUAUGGGAGACCACAUGGGAAUACCAGGUGUUGCAGGGU
ensembl:rRNA 5S_rRNA 5S ribosomal RNA